GCAAGUCGAGCGCGAACGUGGCCUUCGGGUCACUAGUAGAGCGGCGGACGGGUGAGUAACACGUGGAUAACCUGCCUCGGAGUGGGGGACAACUUGGGGAAACCUGAGCUAAUACCGCAUAAUCUUGCGUCUCCUCGGAGAUGUAAGGAAAGGUGGCUUCGGCUGCCGCUCCUAGAGGGGUCCGCGGUUGAUUAGCUAGUUGGUGAGGUAAUGGCUCACCAAGGCUACAAUCAAUAGCCGGCCUGAGAGGGUGAACGGCCACACUGGAACUGAGACACGGUCCAGACUCCUACGGGAGGCAGCAGUGGGGAAUAUUGGACAAUGGGCGAAAGCCUGAUCCAGCAACGCCGCGUGGAGGAUGAAGGCCUUCGGGUUGUAAACUCCUGUCAGGUGGGGCGAAAAGGUUUCGGUUAAUAGCCGAAGCCGCUGACGGUACCACCAGAGGAAGCCCCGGCUAACUCCGUGCCAGCAGCCGCGGUAAUACGGAGGGGGCGAGCGUUAUUCGGAAUUAUUGGGCGUAAAGGGCGCGUAGGCGGCCUGCUAAGUCAGGGGUGAAAUCCCUCGGCUCAACCGAGGAACUGCCUCUGAAACUGGCAGGCUAGAGGCCGGGAGAGGGUGGUGGAAUUCCCAGUGUAGCGGUGAAAUGCGUAGAUAUUGGGAGGAACACCAGUGGCGAAGGCGGCCACCUGGACCGGUUCUGACGCUGAGGCGCGAAAGCGUGGGGAGCGAACAGGAUUAGAUACCCUGGCAGUCCACGCUGUAAACGUUGAGCACUCGGUGCUGCGGGUAUCGACCCCUGCAGUGCCUUAGGAAACCCGUUAAGUGCUCCGCCUGGGGAGUACGGUCGCAAGGCUGAAACUCAAAGGAAAUGACGGGGGCCCGCACAAGCGGUGGAGCAU
rnacentral:rRNA from 1 species